GAUGAACGCUGGCGGCGUGCCUAAUACAUGCAAGUCGAGCGAACGGACGAUAAGCUUGCUUCUCUGAUGUUAGCGGCUGACGGGUGAGUAACACGUGGAUAACCUACCUAUAAGACUUGGAUAACUUCGGGAAACCGGAGCUAAUACCGGAUAAUAUUUUGAACCGCAUGGUUCAAAAGUGAAAGACGGUCUUGCUGUCACUUAUAGAUGGAUCCGCGCUGCAUUAGCUAGUUGGUAAGGUAACGGCUUACCAAGGCAACGAUGCAUAGCCGACCUGAGAGGGUGAUCGGCCACACUGGAACUGAGACACGGUCCAGACUCCUACGGGAGGCAGCAGUAGGGAAUCUUCCGCAAUGGGCGAAAGCCUGACGGAGCAACGCCGCGUGAGUGAUGAAGGUCUUCGGAUCGUAAAACUCUGUUAUUAGGGAAGAAAAUAUGUGUAAGUAACUGUGCACAUCUUGACGGUACCUAAUCAGAAAGCCACGGCUAACUACGUG
rnacentral:rRNA from 1 species